UGUCUAUCUCAGUUGCAUCGUUUGUGCUCAGCAGUGUGUGAAUAACAUCAUGUUCAGAUUGCCCAGAAUGCUGCUCUGUGAAAAAAAACAUGUAGUCUCCCAUGGGAAUUGCCCCUUGAUCUGGCCAGGAAGUGGGAGUCUCAUCGUUCCUCUCUGGAUGACAUUCAAGACAUUGUGAAAGUGAUGCUAACACAGAUUCAUUUUAGUUCUGGACUAAAAAUAAUUCUAAAUAGAACAUCUCCAUAGAAAGUGCUUUUUAGUCCAGUACUAGGCUUAAUCUGAAAUCGCCCCUGAAUGUCCUGAUCAUCACUAUCAUUUCAAAUGGCAAAAACUCUAAUAUUUUAAAACAUAUAUAUUUUCACUCCAUUUCCUCAAAAAAUAUGACACUUUGUCAUCAUAGCAUUUUGAAGAGAUGAUCUCUGAUAUGUCAUGUUAGAUAUUUAAAUCCCCAGAAAUUAGAUGAUUUGUAAAAAAAAUAAAUAAUAAUACUUACCUGCAGAAAAUACCUGGAGAGUAAGAAGGAGAGAGAAAAUCACUGCUUCUGUUAGUUUGACUUCCAUUGUGAAAGGAACAUGCUGAGAUCUGUACAGAGGCCUUUUAAGACAAGGAGUGGAUCUGUCUGUCUCAGCGCCCUCUAUAAUUACAUUGAUAUUUCUGCACAUUUAGAUUUUUUAUCCAGGUGUCUGGCUGGAACAGAUGUGUAUUAACAUGUUAUAAUUACCCUCAGAGUACAAUAACACCUGACUCAAACUCAUAGCUACCAGACAGUUCCAUCAUUAUAUUGUGCAAAAGAGAUGGUGAUAAGUAAGCUCAAAUGAUAAGUUGUGUCUGGUCUGGGGCAAUUUGUCUAAAUAAAAAGGUAAGAUCUA